rnacentral:lncRNA from 1 species
CCAACUGCUGCUCCUCCCUUUGAAGGAACCCGGCUGUACCUGCUCUUUCAUCUCCUGGAUGGAAAAUGUCUAUCGGCUGGAAACCCUGGACAGGACCGCAUUCGGGCAGCACCCCGGUGGGAAACCUUGUCACUGAGCAAACGCUGCUGAAUGUAACCACACGAACCCAGGUGCAGAGGGCCAUCCCUGCGUGGGACCCCUGAAGCAGUCGGAGGAUGCGCUAGACAUAAAAUAGGAGAUGCCAGGGAGGCCAGAUGCAGCGAUGCGGAGGAUCGUGGAGCCCCGGGAGCCCCAGAAGUCAGCCAGCUUCUUGGUGAGGUGACAAAGCCCUGUAUCCUCAACUUCCUGGUGAGCCACUUAUGCUCCUGAACUCCUCCAGGGGAGGGGAUCUCCCUAGGUGACCAAACCACAUCUUUGGAAGGCAAAGACCAUUAAAAAUCCCUUCUCAAGAUGAACUAAAACCUGCCAACCUUUAACUUUCCAUCUGCUGGCUGUACCGUUUCCUUCUGGAAAAAUGCAAGUUCAACCCGAUUCCUUUUCUAUAGGGUAAUGGUUUAAAUAUCUGAAGAGUGCUAUCACCAUCCCCUUGUAUGCUCUCUCUCUGUCUCUCUCUGUCUCUCUCUCUCUCAUUUUUCAAGCCCUCUGCUGUCAGGCCAACCUCUUGCAUUGUACGACUAUAUAAUGGAGUUUUU